AUGCGGGUACGUACACAUUUGUACAAUUAUGAUAACCAUAUUGAUGAGGACAUGGAUACCACAGUUACACCCACAAUCCAUGCUACUAUACCUAUCAGACCAAUUACUAGAGCCCGCGCACGCCAGUUAAAUUAUCAGGUACUUUCAUUUCUUAGUAAUGUUUCUAAUGUUCAUGAGAAUGUGAUGCUGCCUAACUUGGAUACAUUUGAGUUGCUUACAAUUGAAGGGCUUAGCACAGACAAGAAGGAUGAACAGUGGAGCAUGAUCAAGCACAGAGAUGAAGACGUGUGCGAAGAGAACAAGAACGGAGGUUCCAGUGGAGAUUUCCGAACUUUGAAGCCACCAUGA
rnacentral:rRNA from 1 species